AGAAGCCCCAUGACCCCAUGACAACAACACCCACUUCCUGCUCCACAGAGUUUACAGUGGUUACAUCAUAACUGCAGGAACCUGGUUUCAUCCAUCUUCAGCCACUCAGAUAAAGAAUGCUCUUGGAAGGCAAGAAGCAGUGACAAUCUGUUCACUUGGUAACAUCCUCUGAAGAGAUCUGGGUCAGUGGAUAAUGUGAGAGUGGAGAAUGGAACAGAAGCUUGGAGAGGUGACGGCAGCGACUGAGCAAUGUGUGUUUGUUGUACCUACCCUCUGUCAGGGCUGUCUGGGGAGAGCCGUGAUGGGGUGCAGGGCGAGGCGUCUUAUACCAUGCUCGUCACUCUGGAGGAAACACAACUCCAAUCACAAGAACUGAGCUGAAGUCUCUGGUGCUGAAGGAGGCAGCAGCUUUCAGGUAACCUAACAUCCGAGGAGGUGAUCCAGCCCACGCUCACGAGGAAGCCGUUCCCAGCCUUCCAUGGGAACCAGAUGAAGAAAUAAUAAAGAAAAUGCCAAGAAAAUUAGCCCCGCAAGCCAGGAAGCCCGGGGCCUUUGCUCAACCCACAGGCCGCAAGAGACAGUGCCAGAUAUCCAGAAAGCCCCAUCCAUGGGUCGGGCAUGGCUCCCAGAAGCUCCUAGGGAUGCAGGUGUGGGGUCGUUGAGAAGCUCGGCUUCUUCAAGUCAUUUGGGUGACGUGGGAUUUUUCAUUGUCACCUCCUUCUGCAUCAUGGCUGGGCUGAGUGACCCUCACUGUGGACAAGGACCAUGCUGUACACUCUGGGAGCUGCCAACACCCCCAGGGCCCAACCCUGCUGGAGGGUAAGCUCAUGUGAUCAAGGAGCUCUGAUGCCUCUGCACAUGCGGUGAGGGCCAGGAGGCAUCUGACAGCAAUCCCGGGGCAGCCCAACCCAUGAACUGGAGAGGAGUUACCCCAACCACAGGGGCCUGGGACAGGGCCUGCAAAGGAGACCUGAGUGACAGGGUCGUGGCCAAAAGAAAAGGUGCCUGGGCAUCCACAUGCUCUUGUCCAUUCUGUCACUCCUAAAUCUCUAUUCUCUGCAUUUCCAGUGGCUGCCUGGUCUGCAUCCUCAUCCACAGCUCAGGUCCCUCCCAGUUCCCUUUAUUGUCAGCCCCACUCCUGCUCUGCACAGGCUGUGCUCCUCCCCUGUGGCCAUGCCACCUCCCACUUACCCUCUGACCUCAGGGUGUCUGCAGAGCCCACUGCGGCUCCCUUGAACUGAGACCAAGGAGGCGCCGCUCAUGACCCUUGCUUUGGAAACUUCCACUGUUUCUUUCCUCUCCCACCCCCUAACCAUGAAUCUGAUAAACGGUCCAUGGUCCUUUGAUAACAGGUGUUGGUGGUUAACAUCUGACUCUAGUCAGACGUCUGCAUUUUAACAGAGGCACUUAUGAGAAUGCCCUGACAAGUCUGGUCUCACCAGCAUUGCAGGCAGCAGGGCCCACCUUGCAGGUGGGCUGGGGGAUGUUAUUAGGCAGACAGAGCAUUUUUGUCUCUAUAAUCAAAGCACUGAAUAACAUGUUUAUUCCACUUCUCCUAAAACUUGUCGAGGCCCAGCUAGCACCCACCCACCAUGAUAUGGUUUGGCUCUGUGUCUCCACCCAAAUCUCAUCUUGAAUUGUACUCCCAUAAUUCCCACGUGUUGUGGGAGGGACCUGGUGGGAGAUAAUUGAAUCAUGGAGACAGUUUCCCCCAUACUUUUCUCCUAGUAGUGAAUACAUCUCACAAGAUCUGAUGGUUUUAUCAGGGGUUUCCACUUUUAUGUCUUCCUCACUCUCUCUUUGCCUGCUGCCAUCCAUGUAAGAUGUGACUUGCUCCUCUUUGCCUUCCACCAUGAUUGUGAGGCUUCCCCAGCCACUGGACCUGUAAGUCCAAUUAAACCUCUUUCUUUUGUAAAUUGCCCAGUCUCAGGUAUGUCUUUAUCAGCAGCAUGAAAACAAGCUAACACACAACCCACCAGACCACCCCUCCGGUAUGCUCACACGCCCCCUUGCAAAGGACUGCAAACUGGCCAGAGGGCACAGGUGUCCCUUUUCUAAGAGUUAUA
rnacentral:lncRNA from 10 species